rnacentral:rRNA from 1 species
UACGUAGGUGGCAAGCGUUGUCCGGAUUUAUUGGGCGUAAAGCGAGUGCAGGCGGUUCAAUAAGUCUGAUGUGAAAGCCUUCGGCUCAACCGGAGAAUUGCAUCAGAAACUGUUGAACUUGAGUGCAGAAGAGGAGAGUGGAACUCCAUGUGUAGCGGUGGAAUGCGUAGAUAUAUGGAAGAACACCAGUGGCGAAGGCAGCUCACUGGACUGCAACUGACACUGAGGCUCGAAAGUGUGGGUAUCAAACAGG